rnacentral:rRNA from 1 species
GACGAACGCUGGCGGCGUGCCUAACACAUGCAAGUCGAACGAAGAAUGUUUUCGGAAUAUUCUUAGUGGCGGACGGGUGAGUAACGCGUGAACAAUCUGCCCCGUACAAAGGGGAUAGCCUCGGGAAACCGGGAUUAAAACCAUAUAACGCUUUAGUACCGCAUGGUAAUAAAGUCAAAUCGAUUAAGAGGUAUGGGAUGAGUUCGCGUCUGAUUAGCUAGUUGGUGAGGUAAGGGCUCACCAAGGCGACGAUCAGUAGCCGGCCUGAGAGGGUGAACGGCCACACUGGAACUGAGACACGGUCCAGACUCCUACGGGAGGCAGCAGUGGGGAAUAUUGCACAAUGGAGGGAACUCUGAUGCAGCGACGCCGCGUGAGUGAAGAAGGUCUUCGGAUCGUAAAACUCUGUCCUUGGUGAAGAAAAGGACGGUAGCCAAGGAGGAAGCCCCGGCUAACUACGUG